GCUCUGAGUAAUGAACAAGAUACAAAACACUUGUACUAAGGUGGCAUUUGAAUCAGUCACAAGUCAUGUUCCGUGCGGUUUAAAUAGUCUCGUACAUAAACUCAAGUGAUCGGUUUAAAUUAAAUUCAAAUUAAGUGCCUAAAAACUUAUGGCUUGAAAUUAGUAAGACAACAGUUACGGAUAUUCAGGUACAUGGAAUUCUUGGAUGCAUCGCGAAAAUGAUAAAUACAUGAGAUUGAUGUUGGCAUAAAAUAGAACAAACUCCCAUCCUAUUAAUCUAUUCAUGACGGUGACAUUUAUCGAAUAUGAAAUAAUGGAUCAAUAACACCAAUAUAACAAGAACAAACAAAGCUAAUAAAAUAUAAAAUGUAUUUUUAAUUACUAUUGGCCAAGGUAUUGACAACAAAAUAAAUAUAAAAUAUUAUUUUUGAA